AGCUAAUCUAACAGAUGUCUGUGCCACUGAUUUAAAGUCAAAGGAAAGACUACUCUGAAUAGGAAGAGCAUCAGGUCAGCUGUGAGACCAGUCAAGGAAACUUUCCUGGGUCAGGUCAUCUGAAGAGAAAAACAGCAACUUGCAUCAUCUGUGGAGACUGGAAAGAAAGCAUGGAAGAAACCACCUGGAGUUACCAGGCCAAUCCCAGAGCAAACAAAUUGCAACAUGCCUGGAGUGGGAGAUCUUUCACACACCACUGUCUCAGGAGAAACAUGGGGAAUUGAGAGUACUGCAAAUCUUUGGUCUCAAAGUUGUGUUCCUAGCCUCUUCUUAUAUGAACAAAAACAUUAUUCAGACAAUGCAGAUACUGGUUUGUGAAAACUGAGAGUGUUACAUAUCUUAAAAAUUAUUUUGCAUGAAAUAGCUACCAUUAUCAUUAUUUACUUAAGUAUAUCAACAUAUAUAUUUCAGUGUAUCUUUGUUGCCUAGUUUUGCAGUUCUGCCUAGUGGCUGAUUUAAAACCUACAUGAAAUAAAGUAAUUCAAAAUGAACAGAAAAAUACAAGCAGACUUUUUUACUUGCACAAAUAUUCUUUUCAUAUUUUCUUUCACGCUUCAUUCUCAGUUCUGACUUUUAAUAUCUUUGAUUAUUGAGGUUAAAGCAGAACAUCUUAUGAUUACAAUUAGUUAAAUAGCACAAUAUUAAGUAUUCAUAUGUUUUACAAUACCAAAGCUUAUAACAUUUAAAAUAUCUGAAAGGUGAAGGUGCAGUCACAAAUGACAAUUCCCUGUAUAUAUAUAUGCAUAUAUAUAUAAGUAUAUAUGAGUCAGUUUGAAGGACAAUGCUAGGGAAGAAAAAAUUUUUCAUAUAGAUCUGAUGGUAAAUAUCCAAAACUGUUUAAUAUUCCACUCCUUAAUGCAUUGGAUGGACUAUAUCCAUUGCUGGCAAAUUAUGGGUUCUGUGGAAAGAUAGUUACUGAGUAAGCUUAAAAAAACAUCCUUUAACCAUUUCUGACAUUCGUUUUUAUUCUAUUAUGAAAUUUAAGGGUUUCACAGCAGAAACAACAGAACCUUAAAAUAAUGUAGGAAGGCAGCUUGGAAAUCCUAUUUAGGUCAACAUGGCACACUGAAAACUUGUAAUUGUAAGAAAAAAGAUGAUAAAUAUGUUCUUUAUUAUUUUAUUUUAUAUAUGUUACAUAUUUUAUUUUUUAUUUUAUUUAUAUAUAUAUAAUAUAAUGUAUAUAUAUAACAUAUAUAUUAUAUAAAUAAAUAAAUAUAUGUAUAAUAUUACUUAUAUAUACAUUAUAAUUUACAUGUAUUAUUUAUAUAUGACAUGUUAACAUUAAAAACAAUACACUUUACAUUAGCAUACCUGGAGUACUGUAUCCAGUUCUGGGCUCCCCAGUACAAAAAAGACAGGGAUCUCCUGGAGAGAGUCUAGCAAGGGGCCACAAAGAUGAUGAAGGGCCUCGAGCAUCUCCCGUAUGAGGAAAGGCUGGGAGAACUGGGUCUGUUCAGCCUUGAGAAAAGAAGACUCAGAGGGGAUAUGAUUAAUGUUUAUAAAUAUCUUAAGUGUGGGAGUCAAAGGGCUAUGGCCAACUUCUUUUGGAACUUCUUAUGGAUCUUCUUUUGGAUUGGUCUGUGGGGACAGGACAAGGGGAAAUGGCCAUAAACUGAACCAUAGAAAGUUCUGCACAAAUAUGCAAAGGAGCUUCUCCACAGUGAGGGUGACAGCACUGGAAAAGGCUGCCCAUGGAGGUUAUGGACCCUCCUCUCUGUAGAUAUUCAAGACCUGCCUGGGCACCAACCUGUGCAGCCUUCUGCAGGGAGCCUGCUUUGCAGUGGGAUUGGACUCAAUGAUCUCUAGAGGUCCCUUCCAGCCCCUACAGUUCCGUGAUUCUGUGAUUCUGCGAUAAUAUAAAAGGAGUUUAUAUGCAACAGGAUCAUAUUAAUACAGGAGGAUAUUUUCCAGAAAACCUGUUUAACGUGCAAGUUUAAUAAAAAAAAUCUAAACUGGUCAUGCAAGAGUAUGCAUUUGUGAUGAAAUGGCAAUAGUUUUUUUUUUUUUUUAAUUCAGUAGGACUAGGAACUACAAACUAAAAUCAUUCCAAUAACCACUAAGCAAAUAAAGGGUAUAUAGGAAAGGAACAGCACAUCUGUAGAGGUCUGUGGCCAAAAGUCUUUUAGAUUCAGUAUAUCUCAGGAGAUGUACAUGUAGUCCCAGUGCUCAGCUGCACCGCAAGAGCUGCACAAGGCACAGGGAAGAAUGCUCUAAGAAUAUUCUUCUGCUUCUUGCAUGGCAUGCAAUGCAAGGGCAGCCUUGCACUGCUCCUGGGCGAAGAGAGGGUUUGGACUUGGCUAAUGGCCUUGCUCACAACAGAAAGGAAAAGCUUUGUAGAGAGCAAGAAAACAGAGUUUGGAGGAAACAGAGUUUGGAGGAAACUCAAGAGAAUAUCUAGGUCAUCCAUAAUUCUGAAGGCAAGUUCAACUGUUUUCCAUGUCAAAAAUAGAUCUGGUUUUUGAAGGUUCCAGUGGAGGAGGUUAUCUAGCCUUUCUGUCAGUCUAUUACUUUACUUUUCCUAUCCUAUCAUUAAAGAAACUUUGCUACUCACAACAGUUUAAUCAUUUGUUUUGUUUUUUAAACUAAUCGUCAUUACCUGAUUUCUUUCACAUGAUAGAAAUACAUUAGCUGAACUUCUUUUCAGUCAGAGUAUGAAGACAAGAUGCUAAAACUGACUUGUCAAAGAAAAAAAUAUGUAUUCGUUUAGCAAGUCUCCACAUGCAUUGUACUUCAUUUUUGCUUCCAAAAACUGAAUAAAAUCAACAUAUGCAAAACAGGCAUAUGGCCUUUAUACAGAAUGACAGAGUGUCUUCUCUGGACUGGGAAUGAAAGAAUGACAAACUCAGAAAAUGAGCAGAUUAGAAGUCUCAGUAUUACUGCUAAUCCAUGAAAACUCUUUGACAAGUUUCAUAAUAGUUCCAGUGAGGAUUACAGAAAACAGCUACAGUUACAGCUUUCAGACUUCAAGAGCAAUCUAUCAAUGCCUUUCACUGUUAGUUUGCCAGAAUACUGAAGAUAAAUUUCAUAUUCACAGAUGUUUCUGUGAUGGCUUACUAAUUUUUGACCCAAUCAUUCUGAAAGCACGUUCAAAUGUACAUUUUGACCUUCAGAGAAACUCACACAGACUAUUAGCAAUUCCAACUUUGAACAAUUUCCAUGCAGAGAUAAACGGUCUUUUCAUUAACUGCAAUUCACAGUUUCAGAACUACAAUCAUCACGUCUAAGCUCAGAAGUACAUUCUACCAGACAGCUCAUGGUGGAAACAACCAGAUUAUUAUACCUAAUUGUGUGCAAAACAAAUGUUCUUAUUAGUAGAGUGAUACAGUAGACAGCAAUAAAGACAUAAUGCAUCAUGGUCUGCUACUAUUUACCUGAGUAACUUUGAACAAUAUCUUUUUUAUUCCUAAGUGUAUCUGUCUGCAAAAUCAAGGUAAAGAUGUAAAAUGUUUUAAUGAAUCAGAUGGAAAUCUGCAUAUUAAAAUCUAAAAUUAGCUUCAGUAGAAGACAUAGGUACCUUCAAGCUAGAAUCAGACAGAAUGUAAAGAUUAGAUUGUUCUGACUUAAGCUAAAGUAGAUCUUAAACAGCAAUAGUACUGCACACAGGCAGAAACAGAGAUGUAACACUGUAGAGGAAUCUUCUGGACAGCACUAAAUAUUUACAGAUUAGAGAACAGCCAAGAUGGUUGUGAUGAGACCACAGUUUUACACUGAAGUGCCUUUUCUCCCAUAACAUUUGCAUUACACCCCAAUUUGUUCUUUCAGCAAUAGCUCUACCUAUAUUUAUUUAUACUGUCAUUCCAUAUAAAAUCUAAAACAGGACUUUUUUUUUCCCUAUACUACAACCUCAGUAGAUAUAAAAUGAUAUGAUAAAGCACAUGACGUGAUACAUGACACCAUAUUACAUGACAGGACAUGACAUGAUGUGACAGAACAUGACUACAAAUUAUACUUCACUGGCAUCUUACACUUCAUUGUUAUCGUAUCAAGAUUUAAGUGUUUAAACAUUCAUUUCUGUUUUUAGACAGAUUUUACUAACUGAAAAAAAAGACGAAAAUGCACCCACAUAACUUUGUGAAAUAGAAACUACAGUAAGUACUGAAAAAAAAAAAAAAACCUGCUCCAUUAGCUUAGCAUUUCACCAAACAGAUUCAGAUGCAAGUAUUCUUCCUUUCUAUGUGUCAUAUGAGAGACACUAAAUAAGAGUGUGCCACAUUAAAGAGCUCAGCAAAGUAUGAGUUCUUUCAGAAAGAAAUCUCCUUUCUCAUUUAUGCAGCAGAACAAGCUAGUAAGAGACACAGCCCAUAAAAACAGAAAGAUAUUAAUAGUGUUUUCUUACUGUAACAUCAAACCCUAUUUCUAAACUCUCUUUUGCUAUUUGAAACAACACUAAAAUAAGAAUUUAGACUGCUUUUCAGAAAAGCAAAAAACUGUAGUUCUUACAGGAAAAGUAACAAGUAACCUAGUUUACAGCCUAAUUAAAAAUAAAAAGAUGUCACUGUGUGUCUCAAAUGUUAAUUUAAAAAUCACUUACAGUAAAAUAUAAGUUUUUCCAACAUAAAGUAUUUGAUUCGUCUCUUGACAGACUGCAAGGAUAUUUGGUAUUGAAUGCAUCUGCAGGUCAUUUUUGCUAAAUUUAAGAAAACCAAUCAUGUGAGAUAAGAUAAAAUUAAGGUCAACAUUUGAAAUGCUAUGUAUCUAUAAUUACCAGACUAAAAAAUAUUGGUCAUAGAAUAUAUAAUCACAGAAUUAUUUAAGUUGAAAAGAUCUUUAAGAUCACCAAGUCAAAUUAUCAAUUUACCAAGUAUCGUCAAUAAUCCAUUAAUCUAAACCUUCUCUGCCACUACUCAAGGCCAUGUUCGUCCAUCUUAUCACUGUUCACCUGACAAAAGAAUCCAUUAGUGCAACAACCUCCUUCCUGCAGCCUCCUUUCCGAUGUGGAGAGUGAUGGAUCCGUAUAUGGAAAAUAUGUAUAUAUAUAUAUAUGUUAUUCUACUUCACAGAUUAUGACACAUCAAAAUUUACCUCCUUUCAAACACAGCAGAAGCUAAAAAAAAUCAAGAUUCAGUCUGAGGUAAACAUAAAAUCUUUUCAAGUUGGUUUAAAUUAUAAAUUGCAAUUAUCAAAGCAUUAUCACAAAAGAAAAUAGACUUUCAGGAAGGACAUGGCAUGUUCUUACCUCAAGGAAGUUCUGCUCAAGCUUUCUGCUUCAUAUAUCUGUAACAUAGCCAGUGCACGUGCUUUUGAUAAAUCAGACUGUUACUGUAUAUAAUAAAUGGCUUAUUUAUUCCUUUGUGUGGCUUGCUUGUGUUCACAUGCAUGCUUGCAGAUGAUAAUUGCACAGUGCUUGAAACAAAAAUAAACUGUUUUGUUCUAGCUGGUAUAGUAACUGGAAGAAACUGAUGAGGUUAAAGGUUCACAGCCUAGGAAACAGUGAGUAAUCCAUAAAAGAAAAAAUAAAACCAAAAUGGUGGCAAAGAGUACUGUUCAACUUAAAUCCUUGAAAUAAAGCUGAAAAAUAUAGCAAAAAAAACCAAAAAAACAAAAACAAAACAAAAAAAAACCUGGAGCUGUAUUCAAUGUCAUGCAGGCUGUGCCGAUGGAGUUCUCACAAUACAGAGAAACUAAUGCUUGCUCGGAAAAUAUAUAGGUGGUGAAAUGGCAAAAGGGAUUGUUUCUGUACAGUGUCUUCCUCAAUCCCUCUCUGCACCAGUAGGUUCAGAUCAUUCAGGUUUUGGUUGGUUUUUUUUCCCUAACAUUUAACAAUAGACCUUAUUUUUCUACACAGAUUCACUACUGAUAUUCCUCUGAGUGUUUCUAAAGACUGUACUGACCGAUGCACAUUGAUAUCUGAGAACCAUGUUUUAAUAUUUUGACUUUCUGUAUGUGAUCCACUGAAGUUUCCAAAACCCGUAAGCAGGCUCCUGAACACUGUAACAUUUUCUGUACAUGAUCAUAUUUUUAAGAUCAAAGAAUCCUUCUUUGUAUCACAAGUCUAUUGCUCUCCAUGCCUAAAACUUCAGUAGUUAUUGAAACUGUGAAUAUAAACUUAAAAUUCAGGGAUGGGUGCUGUGGAGGUGGACAGCCCAUGGCGAUGUCCCCGAGCAACAGGCUAUGACAUCACCGGGUGACGGACUGUGACUGCAUAGCCCUCACUGCUCAUAGUGGGGUGCUGGCAGAGCCUGGCUCAGUCUGGCUUGUUUCUGGACCCUGCUGAGCAGCUCUGCGAGGCUUGGAGGUUGAGCAAGGUUUUGGCUGUGCUGGGUCGAGCCUGGGGCUGCUCGCAGCAUCUCAGUGCCUUACACUGCAGUAUCACUUCUGUUUCCCAGCCCUGCCUUGUGCAGGCAGCCGGGACCCUACUGAGCACACCCGCAGCAGCGGAGGUGAGUGGUGCAGGGACACCUGGGUCCCUCAGGGCAACUGUGCAGUGCCUGGCCCUGUGCCAGUGGGAAGCACGAGAUGGCCCAGUAAUGGGCCUGGGAGGGAUCUGCUGAGGAUUUUCACACCCUGGGACAGCGAGUGACUGUGACCUCCGUUCCUCUUCACAGUGAGACACCACCACCGCAUCUCCAGAGAAGGAGAACAACUUGUCAUCCUCAGUUCUCCCAGCCUGCUGCAGUGAGAAGACCAUGGCCACAGAAGAGGCAUGGAAAUGUUCCAUCUGCAGUGAUGUGCAACAGGACAGUGCCUACGUGAUUCUGUGUAAUCACAUGUUCUGCACUGCCUGCAUUCAUCAGUGGGCAAGGCUGAGAGACAGCUGCCUGCUGUGCAGUAGGGCCAUGCAGAACAUCCGGGUCCCCGUGCGGGGAGACCCCCUCCACCGUCCCCUGAGCAGAUGGCCAAAGAGCAGGAGAGAGUGGGCGGCCUCCUGCCAAAGGUUUGGGCAGCACUUUUCAGGAUCGGAUGAGACAUCCUCGACCUGGUGCUGCCCUGGCUGGAGCAGGAAUUACGCUGCACUGGAUCAACUUUCUGAAAAGCAUGAGCCUGGCAUUCCUGUGCCAGGUGGGGCCACAGACAGGGACACCCUGGUCCAGUGCACAGAGCACGCCCUGGGACCCAUCAGCGCACCGCUCAUCGACGCCCUCGUCAGAACCAUCGAGAGUCGGUGCGGCCAGCGGGCCCGGAGGCUGCUGGGCCUCGAAGAUCCCAGCGCUGCCCAGGCGCAGGAUGACGGCCCCGCGGCCCCGUCCGGUCCCGCCGCCUCCCCGCAGGGUACCGUUGUCGCCAGCGCUGCGCCUUCCAGCAGCUCUGCGGGUCCAGACGCAGAAGAGCUCCCCGGCACGUCCAGCGGGG
ensembl:lncRNA